AACGCACAUUGCGCCCGCCAGUAUUCUGGCGGGCAUGCCUGUUCGAGCGUCAUUUCAACCCUCAAGCCCCCGGGCUUGGUGUUGGGGCUCGGCCCGUCCCUAGCGGAUGCGCCGUCCCCGAAAUCUAGUGGCGGUCUCGCUGUAGCCUCCUCUGCGUAGUAGCUAACACCUCGCAACGGGAACGCAGCGCGGCCACGCCGUUAAACCCCCCACUUCUGAAGGUUGACCUCGGAUCAGGUAGGAAUACCCGCUGAACUUAA
rnacentral:misc_RNA from 1 species